GACGAACGCUGGCGGCGUGCUUAACACAUGCAAGUCGAACGGAAAGGCCCCUUUGGGGGUACUCGAGUGGCGAACGGGUGAGUAACACGUGAGUAACCUGCCCUUGACUUCGGGAUAACUUCAGGAAACUGGGGCUAAUACCGGAUAGGAAUCCUUGCUGCAUGGUGUGGGUUGGAAAGCUUCUGCGGUUUUGGAUGGACUCGCGGCUUAUCAGCUUGUUGGUGGGGUAGUGGCUUACCAAGGCUUUGACGGGUAGCCGGCCUGAGAGGGCGAGCGGCCACAUUGGGACUGAGAUACGGCCCAGACUCCUACGGGAGGCAGCAGUGGGGAAUAUUGCACAAUGGGCGGAAGUCUGAUGCAGCAACGCCGCGUGCGGGAUGACGGCCUUCGGGUUGUAAACCGCUUUCAGCAGGGGCGAAGCUUGUGGUGACGGUACCUGCAGAAGAAGCACCGGCUAACUACGUG
rnacentral:rRNA from 1 species